GUGAUCACAUGCGCAAGCGGAACUGAGUGGCACACUUUAAAGACAAGCUGAAACAGAAGUUAGGGCAGCACUAGUUUCUGCGGUAUGAGCGGCUGAACUGCGGAGGAAGCUGGGAGAACACAAAGAGGCGCUGACACGGGUGAGGCGGCAUUCUGACGGGCAGGUGCCAAAGAGACUACACGCCCUCGGGUUGUGAUUAACUCCCGCCAUGAAGC